rnacentral:rRNA from 1 species
UGGGGAAUCUUGCGCAAUGGGGGAAACCCUGACGCAGCAACGCCGCGUGAGUGACGAAGGCCUUCGGGUCGUAAAGCUCUGUCAGAUGGAAAGAAUUAACGUGCUGAAAAUAUUGGCACGUGAUGACGGUACCAUCAGAGGAAGCACCGGCUAACUCCGUGCCAGCAGCCGCGGUAAUACGGAGGGUGCAAGCGUUGUUCGGAAUUAUUGGGCGUAAAGCGCGUGUAGGCGGGAAGACAGGUCAGGUGUGAAAUCCCUUGGCCUAACCAAGGAACUGCAUCUGAAACCAUUUUCCUCGAGUACGAUAGGGGAUGGCGGAAUUCCCAGUGUAGAGGUGAAAUUCAUAGAUAUUGGGAGGAACACCAGUGGCGAAGGCGACCAUCUGGAUCGAUACUGACGCUGAGACGCGAAAGCGUGGGUAGCAAACAGG